rnacentral:lncRNA from 1 species
GAAAGGGACUGUAGAUAUAACCAAUACUAACAUUUUAGCAAAAAACAUAAAAUUAAUUCUUAUUAUGCGUUAGAAAAUUACCACACCACUGAUUUCAGUGCAAACUGUACAAUAAAAGGCAAGACAUGUAAGAGAUAAAGGUAAUACCGUCCGCCCCGAGGGUCGUAAAAGGCGACUAAUGGGGUCAUCUCGAACCAUUUGGUGGUUGUCGUGUCCGUCACUGGGGUCUCAUUCGCGGGGCCCUAUACGGAACCGGGACUGUUUGCGGUGCCCAAAUCCGUCCCUAGGGUCUACAAUGGGACCUCAUACGGACUACGGACCGCCCAGCGGACUCGUCCGCAGCAUUCCGCGUACUUUGGUACAGUCCCUCGGAGGACAAAGCCUUCAUGGCUAUAACCUCCAUGUUAAUC